rnacentral:pre_miRNA from 1 species
UUUCCCAACUACACCUAUUAAUACAUAUUUUAACGUCCUAUUAAAGUUGUAGUUUGGAAAGU